UAUGGUCAUAUCAAGUUGAAAUACUGGUUCCCGUAUGAUCACCAAAGUUAAGCAAUGUUGAGUCUGGUCAGUACCUACAUAAGUGCCUACUUGGGAAUAUCAGGUGCUGUAA